rnacentral:rRNA from 1 species
AUUGAACGCUGGCGGCAGGCCUAACACAUGCAAGUCGAGCGGAUGAAGGGAGCUUGCUCCUGGAUUCAGCGGCGGACGGGUGAGUAAUGCCUAGGAAUCUGCCUGGUAGUGGGGGAUAACGUCCGGAAACGGGCGCUAAUACCGCAUACGUCCUGAGGGAGAAAGUGGGGGAUCUUCGGACCUCACGCUAUCAGAUGAGCCUAGGUCGGAUUAGCUAGUUGGUGGGGUAAAGGCCUACCAGGGCGACGUUCCGUAACUGGUCUGGGAGGAUGAUCAGUCACCUUGAACCGAGAACCGGUUCCGACUUCCACGGGAGGCCGGAGUUGGGGAUUUUUGGCAAGGGGCCGAAGCCCUAUCCCGGCCAGCCGCCGGGUUUAAGAAGGGCCUUCGAUUUGUAAAGCCCUUUAGGUGGGAAGAAAGGGAGGUAAGUUAAUACCUGCUGUUUUGACGUUACCAACAGAAUAAGCACCGGCUAACUUCGUG